rnacentral:rRNA from 1 species
UACGUAGGGGGCAAGCGUUAUCCGGAUUUACUGGGUGUAAAGGGAGCGUAGACGGAUGGACAAGUCUGAUGUGAAAGGCUGGGGCUCAACCCCGGGACUGCAUUGGAAACUGCCCGUCUUGAGUGCCGGAGAGGUAAGCGGAAUUCCUAGUGUAGCGGUGAAAUGCGUAGAUAUUAGGAGGAACACCAGUGGCGAAGGCGGCUUACUGGACAGUAACUGACGUUGAGGCUCGAAAGCGUGGGGAGCAAACAGGAUUAGAUACCCUGGUAGUCCGCUCUGAU